CCUACGGGAGGCAGCAGUGGGGAAUUUUGGACAAUGGGCGAAAGCCUGAUCCAGCAAUGCCGCGUGAGUGAAGAAGGCCUUCGGGUUGUAAAGCUCUUUUGUCAGGGAAGAAACGGUGAGAGCUAAUAUCUCUUGCUAAUGACGGUACCUGAAGAAUAAGCACCGGCUAACUACGUGCCAGCAGCCGCGGUAAUACGUAGGGUGCAAGCGUUAAUCGGAAUUACUGGGCGUAAAGCGUGCGCAGGCGGUUUUGUAAGUCUGAUGUGAAAUCCCCGGGCUCAACCUGGGAAUUGCAUUGGAGACUGCAAGGCUAGAAUCUGGCAGAGGGGGGUAGAAUUCCACGUGUAGCAGUGAAAUGCGUAGAUAUGUGGAGGAACCACCGAUGGCGAAGGCAGCCCCCUGGGUCAAGAUUGACGCUCAUGCACGAAAGCGUGGGGAGCAAACAGGAUUAGAUACCCUGGUAGUCCACGCCCUAAACGAUGUCUACUAGUUGUCGGUCUUAUGUACUUGGUAACGCAGCUAACGCGUAGAAGUAGACCGCCGUGGGGUAGGUACGGUUCGGCGAGAAGUUAAACGUUAACGUUAAGAGUUAGUAGGACGGNGAGAGAGCGACGACGACGACGACGGAGGAGGAGG
rnacentral:rRNA from 1 species